rnacentral:rRNA from 1 species
CCUACGGGAUGCACCAGUGGGGAAUAUUGGGCAAUGGGGGAAACCCUGACCCAGCAACGCCGCGUGAAGGAAGAAGGCCUUCGGGUUGUAAACUUCUUUUACCAGGGACGAAGGACGUGACGGCACCUGGAGAAAAAGCAACGGCUAACUACGUGCCAGCAGCCGCGGUAAUACGUAGGUUGCAAGCGUUGUCCGGAUUUACUGGGUGUAAAGGGCGUGUAGGCGGAGAUGCAAGUUGGGAGUGAAAUCCCGGGGCUCAACCCCGGAACUGCUCUCAAAACUGUAUCCCUUGAGUAUCGGAGAGGCAAGCGGAAUUCCUAGUGUAGCGGUGAAAUGCGUAGAUAUUAGGAGGAACACCAGUGGCGAAGGCGGCUUGCUGGACGACAACUGACGCUGAGGCGCGAAAGCGUGGGGAGCAAACAGGAUUAGAUACCCGGGUAGUC